ensembl:snRNA U6 U6 spliceosomal RNA
GUGCUGGCUUCCUGCAGCGCAUAUAAUGAAUCUGGAAAGAUGCAGGGAAGAGUAGCAUGGCCCCUGAGCAAGAUGACACGCAAAUUCAUGAAGUGUUCUAUAUUAAA